rnacentral:lncRNA from 1 species
AGAAUCUCACACUCAGCCUGCCUCCCACACGUUCCUCUUCCCGCCCAGUCCUAUCAGCUAACUUUUGCUUCUCAGGAUUCAGAUUCAUCUUCUACAGGUUUUUCAACAAGGAAAUGCAUGACCUUUCCAGCCUCUUCAGUCUUCUUCUCGACCUAUGAACAAAUUUUGCAUUUUCUGUCUGAAAGGAGGAUGAAGAGUUUGGCAGAGAAGAAUGUGAAGCGGUGCAAAGCAGGGCUUCUGACAACUGACUUAGCAGUUCUCUUCACUUGCUUGCUAAGGACACGAGUACCUCAGCGCCCAAAUCCAGAAAGAGAAGCAGGAAGCGAUGGCGGCCUGCGAAGGACACACCCCUGGACGCCGAGUCCUGGGUUCUUGGGUUCUCAGCCUUCCCGCUGCACAGCAGGGACCUCAGAAUCGUCCCCCUGUAAAUUCUCUCACCCAUAUUCUCAUCCUUCCCACUGUUUUCCCUGCUUCUCCCACUCACCCUAUUCUGGGAAAAUUCCAGAGAUAAACGUGGGAAACCACAGGCUGCCCUUCCUUCGGUGCUUCUGCAUUUCCCAGCGCCCAGGAUCUGCCCGCUGGAUUACAGCAGCUCCUGAAGACCGUUUCUGA